UACAGAGGUCUCAAGCGUUGUUCGGAUUCAUUGGGCGUAAAGGGCGCGUAGGCGGCGGGGUAAGUCGGGUGUGAAAUCUCAGGGCUCAACCCUGAAACUGCACUCGAUACUGCUCUGCUUGAGGACUGGAGAGGAGACUGGAAUUCACGGUGUAGCAGUGAAAUGCGUAGAGAUCGUGAGGAAGACCAGUGGCGAAGGCGGCUCGUCUGGGACGUAUUGACGCUGAGACG
rnacentral:rRNA from 1 species